AUUGAACGCUGGCGGAAUGCUUUACACAUGCAAGUCGAACGGCAGCACGGACUUCGGUCUGGUGGCGAGUGGCGAACGGGUGAGUAAUGUAUCGGAACGUGCCCAGCCGUGGGGGAUAACGUAGUGAAAAUUACGCUAAUACCGCAUACGAUCUCUGGAUGAAAGCGGGGGAUCGCAAGGCCUCGCGCGAUUGGAGCGGCCGAUAUCAGAUUAGGUAGUUGGUGGGGUAAAGGCCCACCAAGCCAACGAUCUGUAGCUGGUCUGAGAGGACGACCAGCCACACUGGAACUGAGACACGGUCCAGACUCCUACGGGAGGCAGCAGUGGGGAAUUUUGGACAAUGGGCGAAAGCCUGAUCCAGCCAUUCCGCGUGCAGGAUGAAGGCCCUCGGGUUGUAAACUGCUUUUGUACAAAACGAAAAGGUUUCUACUAAUACUAGGAGCUCAUGACGGUACUGUAAGAAUAAGCACCGGCUAACUACGUGCCAGCCGCCGCCGUAA
rnacentral:rRNA from 1 species